GGGGGGGGGGGGGGGGGGGCUGGGCGCAUGGGGGUCGAGCGGAGCUGGGCGGCUUUUGUGUGGUGCUCGGGUGGCGGACGGGUGCGUGACGGUUUAGUCACCGGCCCGUGCCUUUGGUGUAACUUCGUGAGCCUGUGGCUAAUACCUGCUAGGCACUCCUCCUGCCUGUUGUGGGUUGGAACAUUUCGGCUGUUGGGGAUGUACUCGCGGCUUAGCAGCUUGUUGUUGGGGUAGUGUCUUAACAAGGCUGUGACGGGUAGCCGGCCUGAGAGGGUGACCGGCCACAGUGGGACUGAGAUACGGCCCAGACUCCUACGGGAGGCAGCAGUGGGGAAUAUUGAACAAUGGGCGGAAGCCUGAUGCAGCAACGCCGCGUGCGGGAUGACGGCCUUCGGGUUGGAAACCGCUUUCGCCUGUGACGAAGCGUGAGUGACGGUAAUGGGUAAAGAAGCACCGGCUAACUACGUG
rnacentral:rRNA from 1 species